GCCUCGGUGGCGGAACUGGUAGACGCGCGGGACUCAAAAUCCCGUUCUUGCAAAAGAGUGAGAGUUCAAGUCUCUCCCGAGGCA
rnacentral:tRNA from 1 species